rnacentral:misc_RNA from 1 species
AAAAUUUUAAACAUUCAAAGUAACUUGUCUACCUAAAUCAUAACUUGGUACACAUUCGAUGACAUCCUUCUGUCCUCCCAAGAUCACUUAAGGUUGAUACUUGAGAAACAUAGAACCACCAUACAUAGAACCACAUUUUUAGUUUUAAUAUUAGAUCCUCUACUUAAAAGAAUUAAUGCAUGCAAAAUUGCAACAAUCACAGUUCUUAUUCUUUCAUUUUUG